UCGCAAGCAGAUAACAGAAGCUGCCGUUGUUCUCACUUCGUCUCGGCUCCUCCAAGCUGAGAGCCUCGCCACUUACCCCGUUCCCUCCUCUUGACGUUGACCGUCGUCAACGCACUCGUUUGUUGUUAUUGUGCUUUCAUCGCGUCGACGAUUGCAAGUAGGAGAUUCAUGAAAUAUGUUGUUCCUGGGAUAUGCUGCACUUGUGGCGUUUGUGUUCAUUUCAAAAGGCACCGCAAACGAAACCCGGGACAUAUUGGUGACUGAAGGAGAUCAGGUUGUGCUGCCCUGUGGUGUUGAUGAUGGCUCCUUGGAGAGGUGACGCGGAGGAGAGUCGUGGUGUACGAUACACGGACGGUGACACGGAGCAAAAACAACUUCAGAGCGAUUGCAUAGACACCGGAGAAUGCGCUUUUGGAUAUUUGGUGGAGAGCGUCUGGGUGAGACCGCGGGAUCCUCGAUUGCAUGGCCAACACCUUUCUCGCUGCUGAUACCCACGAUACUCGCGGAAGAUGCUGGGAUAUACUUCUGCCUGGUAGAUAGUAACCACCUCCAACUCAUGCAAAAACUAGAAUUUCAACUCAUCAUAAGGGAAAAAGGUAAACAACAGUAGUAACCGGUCUAGCAAAUACUAAAAUAAGUUUUAACAAUGGCUAAUUAUUUACCGUAAUUGCGAAUAAUGUUGUCUCUAUUGCAUUGAAAAAAGCAUUCGGCGCAUGUGCCGCUGACAAUAGACAUUGCGUUACACGAUGCAAGUAAUUCGAAUGUAUUUUUUAUAUAUAUACUGUAGAAUACUCAUGUAUACAGGAGUGUAAAUGUGUAGUUAAAAAAAUCAUAAAUAUGAAGAUUCAAUUAUUAAAAUGUAACUAUUUUCUAGAUUUGUUUUUGAUACGAAACGUUUCACGAGAGUUUACACAUACAAUAUUUAAAACGAGUGACAUAUGUUCAGUUGGCCAAAGCCCUUCAUAACUUUUAUUCACAUGACAAUACACUUUAAACUCAUCAGUGCCUCAUCUGUUGACUUAGAAUGAUGAGGGUGGUGUGGAGUCACACGAUCAGGCGGCCUUCAUUGUUCCUAGUUCAGUGGUGUCAUUAAUGUUGUGACGAACGCUCACAGGGACCGAACCAGUUGGAAAUGUCACCACGAAUCCAUCAAGAUGCAUCUCAGAGGUGGCCAGCUCAGGUCCUUCUGGCUGUGAGAACUCAAACACAACUCAAGGCACUGACCCUGGCAACAUAUUGAAGCAAUACAAGAUGCUAUUUUUCAUCUCUCUUGCAAUGAUGGCUGUUUUGAUAACAGUGUUGGUCGUGGUAAUCUUCCAACUGUUUAAGAAAAAAUAUGAAUGCCUGUCAUUGGUAUCGAAACUACAAGGACUCGGCAAUCUCUCUGCACAGGGACACGCUUCGGAUGCAGUGGAGGAGCCCCAUUACUGCCCACUCCAGGGAAAAGGGGACAACCCUGAGCUCUACACUCAUCUGGCUGGGCAAUCAUAAUGCGCUUACACACACACAUACUUAUAAUCUAUAUCAUCAUCAUUAUUAGGACGCUUUUUAUGCUGGAAAGCCUCACUGCGUCCCAGGACUAUUGUUCAGGAGGAUUCUGCCAAGCUUACGAAGUAGGGGGCAAAUUUUGUUUAUGUGGGUUAUUUGUAGGCCAUUCUUCAGCAUUGGGAUGUUUGCCCAAAACAAGUUUAAUUGCGUGCCUUCAGCUAUUGGCAGGAAACCCACGCAGAACAGGGGGAGAACGGACCAACUCCACACAGAAAUGUGCCCGAGAUGGGAAUCGAACCGAGACCCUUCUUGCUGUUAGACACAAGUGUGCGUAACACCCUGCCACCCAAAAAUUAAUUAAAGUAGAAUUUUUGUACAAUGUUACUUAAGUGUAGCGGGUAUAACACGAUUCCAAAUCUUGUCUUAAAAUGUGUAGUGUUUGCAAUGAGCUACUGUUAGACAACUUUAAUAAGUGCAACUUAUAAUUGCAGUACAGUAUAUGCAUACUGUGUCCUUGACAUGUGCUUUUGACAACACCGUCAACAUCCAUUUUGGAGGCUUUUAUGUCGAAAACGUCUCUGGCAUGCAUUGCGAGCUUGCACAUUGGAGGAUAACCGUCGGAUAUCCGACUCCUUGGGGGCUCAGGUUCAGACGGAUUGUGUGUAAAGGUGGGAUUUGCAAGCAUCUACAGAAAGGGACAAUUUAUCAUCGUUCACAGAUACAUGCGCUUCAUUGCUAUAAGCUCACAAACAAAUGCAUCUGCCGUGAUCACUCUGAUUGUAUCACGUUGUUUGAUCUGGGGCAUCUGUUGUAAAUGUAUGCAUGUUGAACUUCUUUUGCAUCGUACGUAGCCGACCGUGUAAUUAUACGUUUCAAACAUUGCAUACUCUGACUUCCACUUUACUAAAUAAACAUUGCAUUUGUGCUUAUUUUGGU